rnacentral:misc_RNA from 1 species
AACGCACCUUGCGCUCCUUGGUAUUCCGAGGAGCAUGCCUGUUUGAGUGUCUUGAAGUCAUCAAUACCCCUCUUUGUUUUGAAGUGGGGAAGGUUGGAGCUGGGGGCUUGCGGACGAGAGACCGCUCCCCUCAAAUGCUUCGGUUGGGCCUGCGGGUCGAACUCGGUUGGGCGUUGUACUAUCCUCGCUCCGGUCCGAGAUGUUCACCUCGUUUGUUGUCCAACCAAUACCGCCUACAGGAGUGUCGAUCAGCAAACACUUUGAAAUCUGACCUCAAAUCAGGUAGGACUACCCGCUGAACUUAA